rnacentral:rRNA from 1 species
GAUGAACGCUGGCGGCGUGCCUAAUACAUGCAAGUCGAGCGAACGGACGAGAAGCUUGCUUCUCUGAUGUUAGCGGCGGACGGGUGAGUAACACGUGGAUAACCUACCUAUAAGACUGGGAUAACUUCGGGAAACCGGAGCUAAUACCGGAUAAUAUUUUGAACCUCAUGGUUCAAAAGUAAAAGACGGUCUUUCUGUCACUUAUAGAUGGAUCCGCGCUGCAUUAGCUAGUUGGUAAGGUAACGGCUUACCAAGGCAACGAUGCAUAGCCGACCUGAGAGGGUGAGCGGCCACACUGGAACUGAGACACGGCCCAGACUCCUACGGGAGGCAGCAGUAGGGACUCUUCCGCAAUGGGCGAAAGCCUGACGGAGCAACGCCGCGUGAGUGAUGAAGGUCUUCGGCUCGUAAAACUCUGUUAUUAGGGAAGAACAUAUGUGUAAGUACCUGUGCACAUCUUGACGGUACCUAAUCAGAAAGCCACGGCUAACUCCGUG